CAGAAGUCAGGUCGGAUUAAGCCAUAGUACGGAAAAAACUAUGCUACCUGUGAGCCCCGUCCAAGGACGUUAAAAGAAGUCAGGCCACUACAAGUGCCAUAGCUUGAGUAAACUAUGCAGCCUGUAGCUCCACCUGAGAAGGUGUAAAAAAUCUGGGAGGCCACAAACCAUGGAAGCUGUACGCAUGGCGUAGUGGACUAGCGGUUAGAGGAGACCCCUCCCUUACAAAUCGCAGCUACAAUGGGGGCCCAAGGUGAGAUGAAGCUGUAGUCUCACUGAAAGGACUAGAGGUUAGAGGAGACCCCCCCGAAAUAAAAAACAGCAUAU
rnacentral:lncRNA from 1 species